GUUAUGUGCUAGAUGAAACAAUGGUUCCCUGAUUAAAUCUGCUGCUAUGGGCAGUAGACUGACUAGGAACCACGUGUGCUGUCCUGAGCAGCCGACUCCCAAGGAUGCUUUAAUCAAUAGCUUUGCUUCGAACAACUUCCCUUUAAAUGCAU